rnacentral:misc_RNA from 1 species
CCAAACUUGGUCAUUUAGAGGAAGUAAAAGUCGUAACAAGGUUUCCGUAGGUGAACCUGCGGAAGGAUCAUUAAUGAAUUUAUUGACAGGGUUGUCGCUGGCCUUCACGGGCAUGUGCACGCCUUGCUUCAAUUCAUCCAUUUCAUACCUCUGUGCACUUUUCAUAGGUUGGCUUAUUGAGUUGCUGUUGAGUGACUCCUUGGGCCUCUCUAUGCAUUUUAUUACAAACACAAUUGGUUCAGAAUGUUUUUACUGCGAAUGUAACGCAUAUAAAUACAACUUUCAGCAACGGAUCUCUUGGCUCUCGCAUCGAUGAAGAACGCAGC